rfam:Brachypodium distachyon strain Bd21 chromosome 3, whole genome shotgun sequence.
GAUGUACUCCUUCCGUCCAACAAAAGAUGUCUCAAAUUUGUUAAAAUUCGGAUGUACGUAGACAUAACUUAGUGUAUAGAUGCAUUCAAAUUUAAUCAAAAUUGAGACAUCCUUUGUUGGACGCAGGGAGUAGAUU